CCUACGGGAGGCAGCAGGGGGGAAUUUUGCGCAAUGGGGGGAACCCUGACGCAGCGACGCCGCGUGGGUGAUGAAGGCCUUCGGGUUGUAAAGCCCUGUUGGGGGGGAAGAUAGUGACGGUACCCCCUGAGGAAGCCCCGGCUAACUACGUGCCAGCAGCCGCGGUAAGACGUAGGGGGCGAGCGUUGUCCGGAAUUACUGGGCGUAAAGGGCGUGUAGGCGGCUUUUCAAGUCGGCUGUGAAAUUCCCCGGCUUAACCGGGGGGGUGCAGUCGAAACUGGAGGGCUUGAGUGCAGGAGAGGGUGGUGGAAUUCCCGGUGGAGCGGUGACAUGCGUAGAUAUCGGGAGGAACACCGGUGGCGAAGGCGACCUCCUGGCCUGUUACUGACGCUGAGGCGCGAAAGCCGGGGGAGCAAACAGGAUUAGAUACCCUGGUAGUCCCGGCCGUAAACUCUGGGUACUAGGUGUAGGGGGCUUCGAUGCCUUCUGUGCCGUAGUUAACGCAUUAAGUACCCCGCCUGGGGAGUACGAUCGCAAGGUUGAAACUCAAAUGAAUUGACGG
rnacentral:rRNA from 1 species